rnacentral:rRNA from 1 species
ACGGGAGGCAGCAGUGGGGAAUAUUGCACAAUGGGCGAAAGCCUGAUGCAGCGACGCCGCGUGAGCGAAGAAGUAUUUCGGUAUGUAAAGCUCUAUCAGCAGGGAAGAAAAUGACGGUACCUGCAGAAUAAGCCCCGGCUAACUACGUGCCAGCAGCCGCGGUAAUACGUAGGGGGCAAGCGUUAUCCGGAUUUACUGGGUGUAAAGGGAGCGUAGACGGCAAUGCAAGUCUGAAGUGAAAGCCCGUGGCUCAACUGCGGAACUGCUUUGGAAACUGUAUAGCUAGAGUGUCGGAGAGGUGAGUGGAAUUCCCAGUGUAGCGGUGAAAUGCGUAGAUAUUGGGAGGAACACCGGCGGCGAAGGCGGCUCACUGGACGAUAACUGACGUUGAUGCUCGAAAGCGUGGGGAGCAAACAGGAUUAGAUACCCUGGUA